AGGCCUUUCCAUCUUCCUAGAGUGCCUAACCUGGCCUGUGUGCUUGCAAGCUUCUGCUCAUUCUUCAAUACCCAGCAGAGACUUCCUCCUCCAUGCAGCCUUCCAAGACCCACCCGAGUACAGAUCAGAUACCAUCAGCAUAAUGUCAUCGAUGCAGUGGACCAAUGUGACAUGGGGAACAUAAAGAUGGUCACGAUUUUUGCAGACUCCAUAUGCAAAGUAUCAUAGGCCUUUCCAUCUAUCCGGAGUGACCUACCAGAGACAGGACAGUUUGACCAGCAAGCUUCUGAUCACUCUUCAACACCCAGCAAGAAGUCUUAUCCUCCAUGCAGCCUUCUAAGACCUCUCUAAGCACAGGUAUCAGACCCUCCUCUGGAUCACUCUGUCUUGUUACUGCAUUUAUCUCACUGGAUUUCAGUGAAGUGUGUAGACAACUAAUUUGUGCCUGUCUGAUCUGUGAGCUCUUCAUUCAAAGCAGUUGGCUCCUGAGUACAGGAUAAACCCCUAGAAUUGAAUAAAUUUGGUCUUACCUCA
rnacentral:sRNA from 1 species